rnacentral:rRNA from 1 species
CAGCCGCCACGGUAACACGUAGGUGGCAAGCGUUGUCCGGAAUUAUUGGGCGUAAAGGGCUCGCAGGCGGUCUCUUAAGUCUGAUGUGAAAGCCCCCGGCCCAACCGGGGAGGGUCAUUGGAAACUGGGAAACUUGAGUGCAGAAGAGGAGAGUGGAAUUCCACGUGUAGCGGUGAAAUGCGUUGAGAUCGGAAAGAACACCAACGGCGAAAGCACUCUGCUGGGCCGACACUGACACUGAGAGACGAAAGCUAGGGGAGCAAAUGGGAUUAGAUACCCCUGUAGUCCCUGUCUCUUAUAA